UAUUUGCAGCUAGUAUUUUGCACUUAAGCAUAAAGAUUGAACAUUUAAUCUUCUCCCUCGGGUAUUAACUGUGUAAAAUAAUAGUCUUGCAUCGUCUCUGUGGAGAUGCAUUGAUUUGAGGACCAAUAGGAUAAUAAUGAGAGUAAUGGCAAAGAUAUGCUCCUGUCAUGGGUCAGGACUUUAACUGUGCCACAAGCACCGGGAAGAGAUAGAAAGAGCACAGAAAGAAAAACAACACCGAAAGACAUUGAAGAAAGAUAGCAGAGAAAGAAAAGGGGGGAAGAAAGAGUGCACCCAAAGAGGAGAGCACAGAAAGAGAAAGAGCGCAGACAAAGGGAAUAAACGAGAAAGAGUGCUUGGCUUAAGCGGAGACUUGCAGUGCAAACAAAUCCUCUACAAGAGGUUGAAGCAGUGGGUGGUGAAGAAAUUGUACGAGCCCAGAACCCAUCACUUCAGGGAGAGGCUUGUCCAAACUCAAUAUCCCUGCCAACAUCGUCAAAGCCUGCUAAACCAGCUGCCGUUACUGAACACAAGAUGGGGUUCUCCAGCUGAAGAACAUUCUGGAACUUACCUGAACUAUUCAACCAACACAAAAUCCACAUUCAGUUAGAGUGAUGUUGUAUUAUAAUAUAGAAUGUCUAGUAUGCUCACAACUACAUUGUGGUAUAAAUUUUGCUAGCUCUUGUACAUAAUUGAUAUAUAUAAUGGCGUUUGACCAAAUGUUUUCCAUAAUAUUUUUUUUUGCCAGAGUACUGACAAGUGACUAAAUGAUUCCAGCUGCAUCAGAAACCAAUAAAGUGUUGACUUCAACGUCUGGAUCAAUUCAUUGUUAUAUUCAUGAAAUGUAUUUGGAUAAACUACCUACAAUCUUACUGAGUAAAAAAAAAUUAAAAA